UACGUAGGUGGCAAGCGUUGUCCGGAUUUACUGGGCGUAAAGAGCGCGCAGGCGGUCGUUCAAGUCGCGUGUGAAAGCCCCCGGCUCAACUGGGGAGGGUCACGCGAUACUGAUCGACUCGAAGGCAGGAGAGGGAAGUGGAAUUCCCAGUGUAGAGGUGAAAUUCGUAGAUAUUGGGAAGAACACCGAUGGCGAAGGCAGCCAUCUGGACCGACACUGACGCUGAGGCGCGAAAAGCGUGGGGAGCAAACAGG
rnacentral:rRNA from 1 species